rnacentral:misc_RNA from 1 species
CUUAGUUGAGUUGAGUUGAGUAUCCUUGCUGAAAGUUGAUCAAAUUAUCGAAAAUUUACGAUUUUGGCAUUUGUUUGAGCAAUUGAAUUUUAUGUGCUUACAGUGGUCUCUUUGAAUUUGGGUGGGCUUUUUUUUACUAUUUUUUAGGGUUUUAAUUGUUUCUCUCAUUGGAUAGGUUCUUUAAGAGAGUAAGAGAAAUGCAACAUGCUAUUGGGGGUGAUAUCUAUUUUUAGAUUAUUUAAUAUUUUAGUCUAAUAUAAUUUCUGGAUAAUGUUGACUUGGGAAGUUUCUUCGGUUGAGAACGACUUGGUAGAUUGAAGAAUAUUUAAACUUAAUUUCCCCUCUCUCUAGCCCCCAAUGUUAAUUAUUUUUAACUGGUUAUUUACUUAUGACUAUAGAACAUUUACGUAGCAAUAUUUUUGUCUUUUAAUUUCAUCUGUGAUAUUUUCGCAAGUUGACAGUGAAUUUUUUCCCCCAUUUUAUGCUCGACUUCAUUUUGAAUUUUUAUAGUGGCAAAGAUGAAAAGGUGAAAGAUUAAAACUCUGCGAAUUUUGAAGUUCUUUUCGAUUACAUGUGUUCUUCAUGGUGAAAUUUAUUAAAUGUUGUGUAAUAAUUAACUGACUCUUUUUAUAUUUAAUAUUUUGUUGCCUGUAGCAUUACGUGGCUAAUUUGCAAGUUUCUUAUUUAUGCUACUACUAAAUUUUUAGCGUCUGUGUUGAGAGAACAGAGGGAACAAGAUCUAUUAUUGGCUUUUUGAAUAAUGUGAUUAGACCAUCUGGACUUGUCGCUUUCUAUGUGAUUUGAAUGUUCUGAAAAUACGAAUUCCUUCUCACUUCUCGUCCAUACACAUUUGUAAUGUUCUCAUAGCAGACCAUUUAAAUGAAAUUUAAAAAAUGUUAACUACAAAAGAAUUCUAAUUGAUGUUUCAA